GUAUCUAUGGUUUAGAUACGCCGUGUCUGCAGUAAUCUGCACUGCAAUUUAUGUAUUGUCUAUGAAUACUCUUUGUUUUGGGCUGCUACGUGAUAUCAAUAUUAGCUGAAUUAGAAUAUAAACUUUAGAGUCUAUACGAUUUCAACAAGCAUCUUGCCUUUAAAAAUAAAAUGGGUGAAAGAUACAACAUUCACAGUCAACUUGAACAUCUACAGAGCAAAUAUAUAGGCACAGGCCACGCCGACACUACAAAAUAUGAAUGGCUUAUGAACCAACAUCGCGACUCUUGCUGCAGUUACAUGGGUCAUCCGGAUUUGUUGAGUUACUUUGCGAUCGUAGAAAAUGAAUCUAAAGCGCGCGUAAAAUUCAAUUUGAUGGAACGAAUGCUUCAACCAUGCGGCCCACCGCCAGAAAAGCCUGAAGAUUAAACGCUUCGAUUUUAAAAAUAGAAUUAAGCUAAUUUACUUAUUAUUUGACUUUGAAUCCCUUAUCAUGACAUAAAUUCGAGCAGUUUGUUUUCAUUUCUAUAACCUUUAACAAACACAAUUAGUCUAUUCAAAUAGUACCACCAAAAACUCAACUAUUAUCAAUAAAAACUACAAAUUUUAAUAACAGGUAUAGUUUAUAGUUUAGAAUUGGUUCAAUGGUCAAAUGUUUGACAAUCUUAUUUUUAUAUACAAACUUGUUUCAUAUUGUUUUAUCUCAAAGAAAUCAGUUUUGAUUUCCAUUUAGCCUUAUAUAUAUACAUUUAAAUAUAAAGUAAUUUAAGAGAUUCUUUAAAUAACCUGGGAGUAUUUUAAUCAUGCAUAUGCUUAUUAAAAUAUUGAAAGCUUCUUUUUGAUAUUUUUAUUAUGUAUGUCUAAAAUUGUUAAAUAGGUUACAUUACAAUGAACCACCAAAACUGUAAAAUUUAGGAAAUACAUUCAUCUUUCAAAGGGGAAGCCAAGUAAAAUGCAAAUUAGUAUUCAUUGACCAUUUAAUAAAGAUCUCCAUUCGUCCA